GGGACCCCAGAGCUGGAGGCCGCACUGCAGACAGAGAUGUGGAACCUGAAAACAACCACAGAAAAAGAAACACACGUGCUGAUCACCGUAGAUAAUGGACCGAUGCAAAAUAUGUAAUCUAUGUGUGAAUUCACAGAUAUCUGCAUGAACAGUGGUGCAGUUCCAUGCAAGAAGGCCAUUUACUGGUCCUUCCAUGUACCAUUGUCUCCUGGGGCACCUGAAGAGAAACGGACCUAGGAAUUGGCAGUGGCACUAUCAAAGUGAGUAACUGCAGCUUCCUGCUAUGUGCUGUAAGAGG